rnacentral:rRNA from 1 species
GUAACAAGGUUUCCGUAGGUGAACCUGCGGAAGGAUCAUUAUCGUAGGGCUUCGGCCCUGUCGAGAUAGAACCCUUGCCUUUUUGAGUACCUUUCGUUUCCUCGGCAGGCUCGCCUGCCAAUGGGGACCACAAAAAACACUUUGCAGUACCUGUAACAGUCUGAACAAACAAAACAAAAAUUAAAACUUUCAACAACGGAUCUCUUGGUUCUGGCAUCGAUGAAGAACGCAGCGAAAUGCGAUAAGUAGUGUGAAUUGCAGAAUUCAGUGAAUCAUCGAAUCUUUGAACGCACAUUGCGCCCUUUGGUAUUCCUUAGGGCAUGCCUGUUCGAGCGUCAUUUAAACCUUCAAGCUAAGCUUGGUGUUGGGUGACUGUCCGCUUCACUGCGGACUCGCCUCAAAAUUAUUGGCGGCCGGUACAUUGGCUUCGAGCGCAGCAGAAACGCGAACUCGGGCCCGUCGUAUUGGCUCCCAGAAGCUAUCUUCACAAUUUUGACCUCGGAUCAGGUAGGGAUACCCGCUGAACUUAAGCAUA